ACAAGAUUCACACAAAUGGAGCAGUUUGAAAAUGUUCCAUUGUUGUGUCGAACCAGGUGUUAAACUGAGGAUCACAAACUCUACGUGUUGGGGGAGCCCCGAGAAAGGCAAGAAUAUGAGGACGAAGUAAUCGAGAAGUGGGGCUUUGAUGGGGAGCUGUGCUCUGCAGAGAGAGGUGAAGAAUGUCCAUGGAGAAGAGGUCGAGGGAGAAAGAGAAGGUAGGCAGAGGGAAGGCUAGCCAGUGGAAGAGAAAACCGAUCUCACCGGAGGAGAGAGGUCUAGGAAGUAGUCGAUAAUGAGGUCGUGGAUAAUGAGGAGGUUGAGGAAGAAUGAGGGAGUCUUGAGAACUAUAAAGAGGAAUUUAGACUCAAUGUGGAAGCGAAGGACCUCAUGCUAGUUGUUGAAGGUCUGGCAAACGGAAGAAGAGUGUUGGGAAGGUGGAGACUUCAGGACUAAAGGAAGGGACUGAAGGGAAGACAGCUAUUAAAACAUACUUGUGCAAAACACCGAGGACUGAGAUGACAGAGAGAGAGAGAGCUGGAGCCACCCUUCCAAAGAAGGACUAGCCAGACUUGUGUCCAUGGCCGCUGUAACAAGUGAUGACACGUUUGGUGGCUUCAACAACAGAAAUCUAUUUUCUCACCGUUCUGGAGCUGCCAGCCCCAGCUUGUAGCUCCUGCGUGGACUGACACAGGUCGGAGGUGGAGAGAAAGGCGGCAGGCAGGCCGAGGUGGACCUGACCACUACCUGUGCAUUCCAUGGCUGGUCACUUUGCACACAGCAGAUGUUGGAAGUGGACCUUUCUUACACGGGGUACUUUUGUGGAUUACUCCACCCUCCCUCUCACCCCGUGCACCCUCCUACUCCAUAAAUUCAACGGCUGACCUAUGGGAAAUACACAUGCAUCCUUGGCCCACAUCAUUCUAGAAGUGCUGAUAUUCCCCGUGUAGCCACCUCCAAUCACUGUGCCCACUGGCAGGAACACCACCAGAUGCAACCUCCAGAUAAGAAUCAGAUUUCCGUGCUCAUGUCCUUCAAACACCAAGGGACGGCUGUCAGCGUUUGUGAGGGGCUGGCCUAGAGCUCCCUCCCACAUAGCUUUAGGUAUACAGGAGUACUCCUGUCCUCGUCCACGGGGGAGGAAAAUGUACAGCACAUCCAGCUUCCGCAGAACGGUCCACUCUACUGGCUCCUUAGCCUCUGAGAAAAGUCUUUAUUGUCUCUCUUAUGACCUGGAAAUGGCUGUUGAGCCUCAUGAGGCUGGCACAUCCGGCCUCACAUUUGCUCAGCAUGUCCUGCAUUGAUGGCCCAACAGCUCCCUUUAAGAUGUGGGCAUACUUGGCACAGCCAUUGGAACCACUGCCCCAAACUCCCAGACAUCAGAAGGUCUUAUUUUCCCAUUACCUUCUGUAAGUUAAUAGGAGCUUUUCCCCCUGGCUUCAUAUUAGAUUUACAUGAAGGAUAAAUAAUAGGACAAACCAUUUAGAUACAAUAAAGUGGCACAUAUAUUUCUGCCUUGGUUACUGUGUUAUUCAGCUUGGCUACUAUAACGAACGACCAUAAACGGGGACA